GUUAGAAAUGACUGCUAAUACCGCAUAAGAUUGCAUGAUAAAAACUCCGGUGGAAUAAGAUGGACCCGCGUCUGAUUAGCUGGUUGGUGAGGUAACGGCCCACCAAGGCGACGAUCAGUAGCCGACCUGAGAGGGUGACCGGCCACAUUGAGACUGAGACACGGCCCAAACUCCUACGGGAGGCAGCAGUGGGGAAUAUUGCACAAUGGGGGAAACCCUGAUGCAGCGACGCCGCGUGAGCGAAGAAGUAUUUCGGUAUGUAAAGCUCUAUCAGCAGGGAAGAAAAAAAUGACGGUACCUGACUAAGAAGCCCCGGCUAACUACGUGCCAGCAGCCGCGGUAAUACGUAGGGGGCAAGCGUUAUCCGGAUUUACUGGGUGUAAAGGGAGCGCAGGCGGUGCGGCAAGUCUGAUGUGAAAGCCCGGGGCUCAACCCCGGUACUGCAUUGGAAACUGUCGUACUUGAGUAUCGGAGAGGUAAGUGGAAUUCCUAGUGUAGCGGUGAAAUGCGUAGAUAUUAGGAGGAACACCAGUGGCGAAGGCGGCUUACUGGACGAUAACUGACGCUGAGGCUCGAAAGCGUGGGGAG
rnacentral:rRNA from 1 species